rnacentral:rRNA from 1 species
CAGUCGCCCGGGAAUACGUAGGUCCCGAGCGUUGUCCGGAUUUAUUGGGCGUAAGGGAGCGCAGGCGGUUUAGUAAGUCUGAAGUUAAAGGCAUUGGCUCAACCAAUGUAUGCUUUGGAAACUGUUAGACUUGAGUGCAGAAGGGGAGAGUGGAAUUCCAUGUGUAGCGGUGAAAUGCGUAGAUAUAUGGAGGAACACCGGUGGCGAAAGCGGCUCUCUGGUCUGUCACUGACGCUGAGGCUCGAAAGCGUGGGUAGCGAACAGGAUUAGAUACCCCAGUAGUCCCUGUCUCUUAUACACC